rnacentral:lncRNA from 1 species
GUUCCCAGGACAGGAGAGUGUGUGCUCCACCAUGCCAGGCCACAUGGGGGAGCGGCAGGGUCAGUCGGGACAGCGGGAGCAAGAGCCUUUAUUCUGGUUUCCCCAGGAACAGGUGAGGCCAGGUCACAAUUCAUAUUGAUAUUUAAAUGGCAUCUGGAUGCUGCAUAUUGCAUAUUAGAAACAAAAAAAAUUGGUAAAAUCCCAAUACGAAGAGAGAGAACAAAACAAGCAGAAAAAUUAACCUGAUGGAAGCAAAUAAGAACAAAAGAAAACAAAACCUAUAAGCAAAUAAUACCAUGGGAAAAUAACAGAAGUUUUUGCAUCCAUAAACCAAGGAUAUGGUGCCUCACGCCUGUAAUCCCAGCACUUUAGGAGGCCGAGGCGGGCAGAUCACCUGAGGUCAGGAGUUCGAGAGCAGUCUGGCCAUCAUGGUGAAACCCUGUCUCUACUGAAAAUACAAAAAUUAGCUGGGCAUAGUGGCGGGUGCCUGUAGUCCCAGCUACUCGGGAGUCUGAGGCAGGAGAAUC